rnacentral:rRNA from 1 species
AUACGUAGGGUGCGAGCGUUAAUCGGAAUUACUGGGCGUAAAGCGUGCGCAGGCGGUUUUGUAAGUCAGAUGUGAAAUCCCCGGGCUUAACCUGGGAACUGCGUUUGAAACUGCAAGGCUAGAGUGUGGCAGAGGGGGGUGGAAUUCCGCGUGUAGCAGUGAAAUGCGUAGAGAUGUGGAGGAACACCAAUGGCGAAGGCAGCCCCCUGGGUCAACACUGACGCUGAGGUGCGAAAGCAUGGGGAGCAAACAGGAUUAGAAACCCCGGUAGUCC